AAUGAACGCUGGCGGCAGGCCUAACACAUGCAAGUCGAGCGAGCGGCGGAAGGGUGAGUAAUGUCUGGGAAACUGCCUGAUGGAGGGGGAUAACUACUGGAAACGGUAGCUAAUACCGAAUACCAUCAGAUGUGCCUAGGUGGGAUUAGCUAGUGGGUGGGGUAACGGCUCACCUAGGCGACGAUCCCUAGCUGGUGUGAGAGGCUGACCAGCCACGAUGGAGCUGUGGCACGGUCCAAACUCCUCUGGGAGACGGCAGUGGGUCAUAUUGCACAAUGGGGUCAAGACUAAUGCGCCAUUGCCGCGAGUGUGAAGAAGGCCUGCGGGUUGUAGGGCACUUUCAUCGGGGUGGCGUUACCCGCAGAAGAAGCCCCGGCUAACUCCGUGCCAGCAGCCGCGGUAAUAC
rnacentral:rRNA from 1 species